rnacentral:rRNA from 1 species
AUUGAACGCUGGCGGCAGGCCUAACACAUGCAAGUCGAGCGGAUGAAGGGAGCUUGCUCCUGGAUUCAGCGGUGGACGGGUGAGUAAUGCCUAGGAAUCUGCCUGGUAGUGGGGGAUAACGUCCGGAAACGGGCGCUAAUAUCGCAUACGUCCUGAGGGAGAAAGUGGGGGAUCUUCGGACCUCACGCUAUCAGAUGAGCCUAGGUCGGAUUAGCUAGUUGGUGGGGUAAAGGCCUACCAAGGCGACGAUCCGUAACUGGUCUGAGAGGAUGAUCAGUCACACUGGAACUGAGACACGGUCCAGACUCCUACGGGAGGCAGCAGUGGGGAAUAUUGGACAAUGGGCGAAAGCCUGAUCCAGCCAUGCCGCGUGUGUGAAGAAGGUCUUCGGAUUGUAAAGCACUUUAAGUUGGGAGGAAGGGCAGUAAGUUAAUACCUUGCUGUUUUGACGUUACCAACAGAAUAGGCACCGGCUAACUUCGUG